CGUAAUCCCAGCACUUUGGGAGAUCAAGGCAGGAGGGUCACUUGAGGUCAGCAGUUCAAGACCAGCCAACAUGGUGAAACCCUGUCUCUACAAAAAAUACAAAAAUUAGCUGGACAUGGUGGCACAUACCUGUAGUACCAGCUACUUGGGAGGCUGAAGCAGGAGAAUCACUUGAACCCAGGAGGCAGAGGUUGAAGUGAGCCGAGAUCGUGCCACUGCACUCCAGUCUGGGCAACAGAGUGAGACUGUCUCUGCCCCCGCCCCGCCAAAGCAACCACAUUAAAACUCAGACCAGCCUCAGCUAGGUUUGGUGGCUCACUCCUGUAAUCUCAGCACUUUGGGAGGCCAAGACAGGUGGAUCACCAGAGGUCAGGAGUUC
rnacentral:lncRNA from 1 species